GAAAACAUUCGAUACUACCUUUAGACAGUGAAGGAUUCCUGGUGCAAAGGCGAGACGACGAAUGUUUCAUUCGGACCGAGUUAUUCAACAUGGUUUGUGAAUUUAUGAUAGUGAAAUGGAAUAAGAAAUGAUGAUUCACAUGUUUUUGUAUCAAAUACAAAAAACUUCUUCUUUAUCAUCACAUCUAUUAAUAAAUUUACCAGACAUUUCGUAUCCGGAUCAGAGACAAAAAUUCCAAAGUAUGCAUAAUCACUGGAUCAAGUUUGAAAGUAACGCGUGCCAUCAAUUGAUAUUCUCAUAAACUAAAAUCCACUCGGAUGAUCAUCAUUCCAGUGGCAAAUUCACGCGUGGAAAGUACGUCGUUAUGUGGAUAACGUUAUUCAGAACAAGGGUAGGGAGGAGGAGAGAAGCAAGUCGAUCAACUGAAGUUUCAACCGCGCGUAAUGAGAUUAUUCUGUUCUGCCGGGAUGUCAACGCACGCCUAGCUACCGUUGGGCUGACGUGAAACCUGCGCUGAACUUCCGGUUGAAACUUUUACGGUUAAUAUUCAGUAAAAGGGGGAAGAAAGAGAGAGAACGAAAAGAAUUAUGCGCGACAAUAUGACGCGUGAUAAAAAUAUUAACGGAAACGGGAAACAAUUCCUUCCUCUAUAAUUUUAUCCCCCAUUUUUUUCACCAUUUUGUUCCUUUUGCUCCUCUCGCAAAAUAAUUUUCCAAUUGAAUAUUUUUAAACGUCAAACUAUUAUAAUAUAUAAAUUUUAUUUAUUUAUAUUAUUUUGUUCUCUUUGUUUGUUUCGUCAAUAUUUUUUUAAUGUUUCGUGUUCUCAAAUCUUAUUUUUAUUCACUUUAUUGCUUUUGUUCAAUCUAGUAAUACGUAUUAUUGUUUUAAUUAGAAUGAAACGUCUAAGCAAUCGUAGAAAUUUCAUUAAAAGAAAUUUUUCGAAACAUUUGAACUUA